UGCUAGGUGGACUGGCUACUCUAAACAGCUCCUAAGUGUGAACAUGUGUCUGUCAUACCCAGGGUGUAUUCCUGCCUUAUGCUCAUUGCUCCCAGGAUAGGUUCUGGAUCCACAAUGCCACUGCGCAAGAUAAAAUGGGCAGGAAAGAAGAUGGUUAUGCGACUACAGACUAUUCCAGUGUCCAAGAGAGGCAGAAGACAAGGAAAGGAGUACAGAGGAAGGAAAAGCAAGACAGGAAGGACUUUUUUUUUUUUGUCUUUUUUUUUUUCUUCAAUUUUAGCAUCAACAAUAAAAAGAGGAACUAAGUCACACCGAUUUCCUUUAGUACUAUAUAUACUGCUUUGAAGAGCUUGAAGAAGGAGAGAAUAUAGAAGCGGGUUGAAAGGUGGGGUUUCUGAGACGGGCACUGAGGAUUACAAGAUGGAGUCUGUGAACAAAGGCACUUUUUUAGGGACAACCUUGAAGAUGCUCUGAGUCUAACACUACAUCACAAAACAAAUAUUUAGAGUUUAGAGUAAUUUACAUUGGGACCAGGAGGGGGUGUUGGUUUAGGAGAGGGGG